rnacentral:rRNA from 1 species
AAGCAGGGGAUCGCAAGACCUUGCGCUUUUGGAGUGGCCGAUGCCUGAUUAGCUAGUUGGUGGGGUAAGGGCCUACCAAGGCGACGAUCAGUAGUUGGUCUGAGAGGACGACCAGCCACACUGGGACUGAGACACGGCCCAGACUCCUACGGGAGGCAGCAGUGGGGAAUUUUGGACAAUGGGCGAAAGCCUGAUCCAGCAAUGCCGCGUGAGUGAAGAAGGCCUUCGGGUUGUAAAGCUCUUUCAGUCGAGAAGAAAAGGUCGCGACUAAUAAUCGCGACUCAUGACGGUAUCGACAGAAGAAGCACCGGCUAACUACGUGCCAGCAGCCGCGGUAAUACGUAGGGUGCGAGCGUUAAUCGGAAUUACUGGGCGUAAAGGGUGCGCAGGCGGCUUUGUAAGUCAGAUGUGAAAUCCCCGGGCUUAACCUGGGAAUUGCGUUUGAAACUACAAAGCUUAG